GGACUACAGGGGUUUCUAAUCCCAUUCGCUACCCACGCUUUCGUGUUUCAGUGUCAGGAGUGGCCCAAUGUGCUGCCUUCGCUUUCGGUGUUCCCCAUGAUAUCAACGGAUUUCACCCCUACUCCAUGAGUUCCACACAUCCCUGCCAUCCUCUAGUCGCGCCGUUUCGCUCGCACAUCCGGGGUUAAGCCCCGGGUUUUAACAAGCGACUAACGCAACCACCUACACACCCUUUACGCCCAAUGAUUCCGGAUAACGCUCGGGGUACUCGUAUUACCGCGGCUGCUGGCAC
rnacentral:rRNA from 1 species